rnacentral:rRNA from 1 species
AGAGCGAACGCUGGCGGCAGGCUUAACACAUGCAAGUCGAGCGGGCCCUUCGGGUCAGCGGCAGACGGGUGAGUAACACGUGGGAACGUACCCUUUGGUUCGGAAUAACGCUGGGAAACUAGCGCUAAUACCGGAUACGCCCUUUUGGGGAAAGGCUUGCUGCCGAAGGAUCGGCCCGCGUCUGAUUAGCUAGUUGGUGGGGUAAUGGCCUACCAAGGCGACGAUCAGUAGCUGGUCUGAGAGGAUGAUCAGCCACACUGGGACUGAGACACGGCCCAGACUCCUACGGGAGGCAGCAGUGGGGAAUAUUGGACAAUGGGCGCAAGCCUGAUCCAGCCAUGCCGCGUGAGUGAUGAAGGCCUUAGGGUGUAAAGCUCUUUUGCCCGGGACGAUAAGUGACGGUACCGGAAGAAUAAGCCCGGCUAACUUCGUGCCAGCAGCCGC